rnacentral:lncRNA from 1 species
CGAGCAAAGGCAACCUUUUGUUCUUUCCAAUUAGGCUCUCCCCCCCCAUGGACUUGGCAGAUGAAGCCGUGUUAUAAAUAGAAGUGAUAUUUUGUGGGGUUCUCCUCACUGAGAAGCACAUGAGGUCAAAUCCUAAUCAAGGAAGACCUAGCCAUGGGCCAAGAAUCUGGAAGGAGAAAGAAAAUAUAACAAGGAGGAAAUGGAAGAGGUUGGGUUCACAAUAUGUCAUCCAUAAACUCAGCACCUGGUUCACAGUAUGUUAUCCCUAAACACCUUGGCAUUGGGAGAAUCAUGGAGUGGGGCUGAUGUUUCUAGCCUCUGUUGACUCUUCCCUCUGAGGUAGGAGACAUGAUCCUAACGUGAGAGUGGUUCCUCCUUACACCACAGGGAAGGCACAUCCUGGUCUCUGAAGACCGGGUAUCAAGAAGAACCUGAAUAGACAGGCCUUGCUAAACUCCACUUAGGUUGAAACCACUAGCAAAACUCCUUAUUUAUCACAAUUUCUGAGCAUGGUGGUGCACACCUUUAACCCUAGCACUUGUGGGCAGAGGCAGGUAGGUCUCUGGGAGUCAAGGCCAGCCUGGUCAAUAUAGUAAGUUCCAGAAUAGGCAGGGGCUACAUAGAGAAACCCUGUUUUAUAAAACAUCCAGUCAACCAACCAACCACACUUCCCCAUGACUGCCCACUUCUUGCAGAACCUACAAAUAAAAACACGAGUUUCUUUGGGUUCUCAUUU